CGUGAUGGCGACUCUGGAAGUCAUCUGCAUGAAAGGGCCUGAUGCUCUUAUUUAUGGAGGAGACUACCCUGGGAACAAAGGACUAUCACAAACCUAGAKGUCUUCUACUCCAGCUGCAACAUAUGUUCCUGCAGUCUGGCUUUACAUCAGAUGGAUGGACAAACAGACCAGCCAAACUGUGCCUACUGGAAAAAUGAUUCAAUGAUCGGAUUUCCACACAGGGUUAUCCUCCUAAUAAUAGCCACUCUGUUUUCUUGCUCGUGAUCUCCACCAACAUCACUAUCCAGAUGACAGAAAAUUCCUGGGUUCUUGCUCUUUUACUUGGUGAAAUAUAUACAAACAUGUAAAAAAAAAUCACCAAUUCAUAC